rnacentral:rRNA from 1 species
GAUGAACGCUAGCUACAGGCUUAACACAUGCAAGUCGAGGGGUAACGAGAGGAAAGCUUGCUUUCCUUGUCGACGACCGGCGCACGGGUGAGUAACGCGUAUCCAACCUGCCCCCAACUAGGGAAUAACCUUGCGAAAGUAAGACUAAUACCCUAUAAUUUCCUCAGAUGUCAUCUGACGAGGAAUAAAGAUUUAUCGGUUGUGGAUGGGGAUGCGUCUGAUUAGCUUGUUGGCGGGGUAACGGCCCACCAAGGCAACGAUCAGUAGGGGUUCUGAGAGGAAGGUCCUCCACACUGGAACUGAGACACGGUCCAAACUCCUACGGGAGGCAGCAGUGAGGAAUAUUGGUCAAUGGGCGGAAGCCUGAACCAGCCAAGUAGCGUGCAGGAUGACGGCCCUAUGGGUUGUAAACUGCUUUUAUACAGGAAUAAAGUUAGCCACGUGUGGUUAUUUGUAGGUACUGUAUGAAUAAGGACCGGCUAAUUCCGUGCCAGCCGCCGCGGUAA